rnacentral:rRNA from 1 species
UCGUUUGUAAAGCUUGUUGGAAAAAUAAUAAAUAGAAAUGGAAAACUGUGAAAAAUAAUUUAACGUUUAAGUAAUGUUUAAUUAAAAAACUUAAAAAAAACUAUAGUUUAUUAGUACUGUAAAGGAAAGAUCAGUUAAUAAUUGAGGUAGCAAGUAUAAAUAUUUAAACCUUGUGUAUUAGGGAAAAUCAAUAUAAUUUAAUUAGGUUAAGUAUCCCGAAAUAAGAAUAGCUAAAUUUAUAUUAUUGUAUUUGUAGAAUAAAAGUGUUUAAUGUAAAUCUAAAGGUGAAAUGCUAGUCGAGUCUUAUUUUAUCUGGUUUUUUUUGGAAUAAAAUUUAAUUUUAACUUUAAGUAAAAAUAACUUUAAAGUGAAAGUGUAGGAGGGUGUAGCUUCUUAUAUAAAGUAUAAUUAAGAGUAGAAUAAUUGAUUUUGUUAAAAUUAGGCUUAGAACUAGCCAUAUUAGUAAAGUGUUAAAACUAAAUAAAAUGAUAAAGAUAUUUAUAACUGCUUUAACAAAAUACAAAAAAAUUAUAUAUAACUUCUGAAGAUGAGUUAUAAUGAUUUUAUUAGUAGAGUAUUAGUGUAAAACAUAUAAUUAGAAUAAUUAAUAUAUUUAGUAAAAAUAUAAAAAUAUAAAGGAACUCGGCAAAAAUUUUUCUUGCCUGUUUAUCAAAAACAUGUCUGUUUGGUAUUAUAGAGAGUCCGACCUGCCCACUGAGUAGUUACUUAAAGGGCCGCGGUAUUUUGACUGUGCAAAGGUAGCAUAAUCGUUUGGUUUUUAAUUGAAAUCUUGUAUGAAUGGUUUGACAAAGAAAGAAUCUGUCUUUAUUUUAAAUAAUUGAAUUUGACUUUUAAGUGAAAAGGCUUAAAUAAAUUAAAGAGACGAUAAGACCCUAUAAAACUUUACGUAGACGCAUAUUCAACUAAUUUAUUGAUUAUAAAAAUUUAGUAGGUAAUCUAUGUUAUGUUGGGGUGACAUAAAAAUAAUGAUUAGUAAUUAUUUAAACUUAAGUACAUUUAUUUGUGGUUCUAUAUAAAAUGAUCCUAAUUAGAGAUUAAAAGUUUAAGUUACUUUAGGGAUAACAGCGUUAUUUUGUUUGAGAGUUCUUAUCGAAAACUGAGAUUGCGACCUCGAUGUUGAAUUAAAAUUUCUU